rnacentral:rRNA from 1 species
AUGAAGGGGGCGCCAUCUGAUGAGGGGGAGAUCUUGAGGUGCGAGGAAGUGCUGAUGUUGGAGGCUACGGAGCGCAGCCUCGAGCUUGAGUGGUUGGAGACGAGGGAGCGUCAGGUCGCCGAAGCGGAAGAUGCUGCCAGCGCACGCGAGGCCAGGACCCAGAAGGAAGUUGACUGUAGAGUGGCUGAGGCUCGUGCUGAUCUUGCCAACAGGUACGAUCUGAAGCUGAAGCUUGUGGAGGCCGAAGCUGAGGGCAGGACCGCCGCCCUCAGGUCAGGAUUGGUAGAGGCGGAGCAGCGCGGGAAGGCCGCGGCAACCGCCUUGGUCCCCAUGCAAGCCGAGCUGGCCUCCGCCCGUGCUGAGCUACUCCCGCUUCAGCAGCGGGUUACCAGCACCGAGUCCUUCGCGCAGCAGAGCAAAGAAGCAGUACUCCGCCGACAGACGCUACUGCACGAGCAUGUUCCCAUGCUUCGGGACCUCAGGACAAGGGCCAAUCAGGCGCUAGGCACCAUCCGCGAUGAACACGCCCCUCACCCUCACGCUGAGGAUUACGCCAGCCAUCUUCGCUUCUUCACCGACGUCGUGAUGUGCCUCGAGAACCGGGCUGAGAGGGCUUGCGAGCUUGUGGAUGAAAAGAGCCGAGGCCUCCUCAGGCGCGCAUUCUCCCGCGUCUUCAGCCAUCUCCUCAACAUCAAUCCCGACUUUAACUUUGACGCCGCCAUUGCCCUGGUGCCCGAGGUCAUCCAGGACAACCUAGCAUGCUGGGUGGACGACAAUGUGGAUGCUCUGGUUAGAGCCUUUGCUUCUGAUGAUGACGCAGUGGUGGUCGUGGCGGAUGAGGGCGACGUGGUUGACAACGGUGAAGAUAGCGCCAGCGACAGCGCCAGCAGCAUGUCCGGGAGCGAUUCGGAAGACGCGGCGAGCGACAUGAACGACUGA